ACAACCCUUUACAAGGGCAUCGAUACAAAUAAUAUCCAGCAUCGCUUGAGGAGGAAAUAAAACCCAGUUGUACGGAAGGCGGCCUUGUUCAUGGGCUUUCGCAGCCCAAUCAGCUAGGGCAUUUGCCUCGCGUCGAACAUGCUGCACAGAGAGGUUGGGAAAACAGGGGAUUAGGGCUUCACAUUCAGCGAGCAGGGCACGGCAGGGGGGAGUUUGAGAAUUUAGGUCAGUGGCUUUGUCCAAAAGAAGUGACGGACAAAUGAGGAAGAGAGCCAUCACAGAGGCUCUUCUUCGGUAGUGGGCAGGGGAGUUUGAGAAUUUUUCAAUCUGUAGAUGCCUCUUGGGAGAUCCGCCCUAAUCACCAGCAGCAAUUCUCACACCAAGUUUUUACACCCAUGAAGAGGACAUCUCGCAUCCGUAACGAAUUGCUAAAGGAGUAAGCUUCUCCGGCCUUGGGAAAUCAGUUUCUUGGGUAAACUCGGUUUUGAACCAAUUCCAAAAUCGGUUCUCAGGUGAAACCAGUUUAACCGGUUCAAACCAAACCCCAUAAUGAAUUCCCUCUCCCCUCUCCCUCUCUCUCUCUCUCUCUCUCCCUGGGACUGUGGCCUCGCCUAUAUCGGCCGGCCAUCAACCAGCCCACUAGUACUCUCUGCUUUCGUUUUCGAAUUCUUCGUCGAAUGUUACGAUUUCGGUUUGCUGAGAUUUCGAUUUUGUUCGUUUCUGAUUUCUUCAGCGGCUUGACAUCGCCAUUUGAUGGCUGCGAGUCGUGACUACCUCUUACCCACCGCCCGUUUCAUUUUUCUUUUGUUUUUAAACUGCCCUCAAUUUGAUGUCCCACCUCAAGCUUGAUUCUGUUUCAAGUCUCGUUUGCUACGUGCGAUGGCACCAGCCGACACCACAUCGGGAGUUCGAGGCGUUCUUGAGUUUCAGGGAACCGACGGCUUGGACAACUUAUACUGGUUGCUUCCACAGUGCAAUGGUGGAGAAAGAAAUCUGUGUCAAAGACCACAUAGAGGUCCGAGUUGGUCAGAAGAUUGGUGGAAACAACACUGACAUCCAUAAGGAUUCUCGUAUAAUGCGUGGUUUGCGCAUUUGGUGGAUUGUGCUUCAAAGUCGGAUGGGAGAGCAUCACUAUACAAUUUGGUUUUGAGCUUGACAUCAUCCAUCUCCACGUUGAAUGUUGGAUCUGGAGAUGGAUGAUGUCGAGUUUAAAAUCAAAUCAUGUCGCUCCUAUCUCUUCCCAGUAGAUACGAAAGGGUAAGUUUUCUUUUUCCGCUACUUUUUUGAAUUAUUUAAUUGUAACAUAAUCUGUGACGCAUUUUUUUAGGCUAAAGUUUCAUCAAUCAUGUUACACAUAUAAAGUUAACAAUGAUCUCUGCACUUUUGGCUCUUAUAUAAUCUAGUCUUCCUUGGAACGAGAAGAAAGGGAAGGGGCCAUUUGGUUUGUUGAAAUUCUUCGUUUCUUGUUUCGGUGAAAAUAAAAAUGAGUCCUUUGUUCCCUUGUAAAGGUGUUUAGUCUAUCAAUAGACAGAAAAUCCAACGCUGAGUGAACACUUUAAACAUGCUUGGGUUGUCUUAUCUUCAAAUUGAUAGGAGAAAAAGGUAAUUAUUUUGUGACAACAUGCCUUUGAUUUAAUUUUUUUGCGAUCGAAGGAGAACUAAUGAUAUUGAUGACUACUUGCUUGGUUUAUUGCUUUCUAUGUUGCGCACUCACCUUCAUUCUCUGCUGUUGUUGACAGUAAAAAACAAGCAGUACGAGCACUCUGUGUGGGUAUUAGUAAUGACUUAACACUUGAAGAAUUAGCCUGUUUGCCAAAGCUUAGGUUUCUUGAAGGGGGAAGAAUUAAUUCCAUAGGUAACUUUAAAAAUCUUCUUCGUACUUUGAGAUGGCUUGCUUGGCAUCAUUGCCUGCAGCAUCUUUUAGCGAUGAAAUCUUCACCUGGUGUAUUUGGUCGUGCUCGACUUUUCGCAAAGCAACAUCACCGACUGAGCUGGAUAGAGGCAAAUUGAGGUAUGGACACACCUCACUCAUGUUUGCUUCAAAUUCUAUCAAUUGACCUUUGCUAGCUAGUUGUAUGGUACUGUAUUCUUAUACUUUCCGUUGGAACGUAAUCGGCCUUUUCUUUUUCACUGCAGAUGGUGAAAAAGUUGAAAGUUCUAAAUUUUACGUGCUGCAGAGUGUUAACCAAGACUAACUGAUUUUUCUGAGUUUAGUGAUUUGGAGAAAUUGAUUUUCACUUGGUGUGUGAAUUUGUCUAUGGUUAAUAGCCCAAUCGAUAAGCUAAAACUGCUAAGUAAGUUGAAUAUUGAGGGAGGCAUUUCCCUCCAAGUGUUGUAUGAAGAAAUCAGUUCUCUAGUAUACUUGUUAGAGCUUAUUGUGUACUCCACAGACAAACUGUUCAAGCUUCGUCAGACACUAGGAAAUCUAAAAUCUUUGAAUCACAGUAGCAGCCGACUUCCUCACUUUAUUGGAAGGUUAAUGGAUCCCGUGCAUUUGUGUUUGCUUGCAUGCCCGGUUAUAUAAGCUUUUGAACUUUAUUGGGGAACUAGAAUCAUUGGUCCAGUUAGCCCAAUUCUAUUGAAAAUCUGACAAGACUAAAGGGGUCAUUAGGGUGCCACACACAAAGAUACACACGAUACCUUGUGUUUUUUGGGGGUGGAGACACAUGAAGUGCUCAAUGCCUCGUUUUGUUACUAUCUCAUGCAUGAAAUCCCAUGGUAAAUGUGGAGGCUGAGCCGAGCCUUCUGAGGAUCUUGGACUUAGAUGGGACCCCAAUCUCUACAAGGUUAUCAUAGGUCAGUGGUUUCUCUAAUCUGCAAAUGCUUAAAAUUACAAGAAAAAGAGCUUCCCUCAAGUUUGAAAUGUCUACUUGGUUGACGCUGUUGGAUUCCCUGCUCUUCCCAGCCUAUCAAGCCUAGUUCAAAGUGUGUAGAAGACAUCCAACUUUUGCAUUUUGGUGUGUGAAUGACGUUAUUUCGCCUUGGAAGGACAGGCAGUCCAUCCAUCGGCUUCCAUGUAUCUUAUCAACCUUGAAACUUGGCUGGAUCCUGCAAUUGCCAGAUUUUUGCAACUUCAAAAGCUUGUCGGUCCUCUCUAUCAGCAAAUGGCCGUUGCCACACUUGCCCAUCCUUAUAUACUUGGAGAGUUUAAGGGAAUUGGAGAUAUCGUGGUGCGAGUUCGUGGAGAGCACACAUGAUCUAUCUUGCUUGAAGAGGCUACAAAAAUUACAGCUCAGUGACUUACCCAAACUGGUGGAGAUUCCAGGUUUGGGGGAACAGGAAUUACUGAAGUUUCUACACAUUUCCAGGUAUAAUGCAAUCAAACGAUUGCCUACCUGUCAAAGUUCAAAAUCUACAGCAUUCCAAGCUAGAUGGUUGUGGAAAGAUGAUAGCUGUCAAAGGCUUGAAAAGAGUUGAAUUUGUUGAAGAAGAUGGAGAUCGCACAUUGCAUGCCCCUGAAAAGUUUGCUCAAUGUGCCAGCUGGCAAUUGCGAUUUGCAGUGUUGCAGGACAAAUAAGCCUGAAGCAGAAUGCAUCAUCUUGAAAAUGCAGGGACUUCCAAUGAAAGCACAUCACGUAUGGAUUUGAGCUCGUGCUUUAUAAGGCGAGUGGCUUUGAACUCCUAGAUUUUCCCAGCAUUUAAAGUAUGCCUCGGUCGUACUGGGCCCGAAGAGGUUAGGUUUUUCCCCUUGGCCAGUUGGACGAGCACAAAAGGUGUGGAAGUGCAGCAUGGUCAAAAUCUGCAGGUGCGUUCUGAUUACAUUAAAGUAAAACAGAGGCUUUCAUUUCAGCUUUUGUUUGCUAACCUGUUGAACUGACCUGGAAAAGAGGCAAAGAAAGAGCUGGCAGCAGGUAUUCAGAAGGGCAUUUCGCUCAUCAAAAAGCGAACGCGUGGAUUGAAGACAGACGUGGAUUUUUCGCGAGAAAAAAGAUGUACUCUACCUAAGUUUCUACUCAUCUCUCUACUCAAAAUUGGUUCCUUGCGCUAAUGAAUGUUUGUGCAUCAUUGUACUGUGUAUCUCGGCCGUGUUCAUGUUCGCAUCUCCUGACUUUCUGAUGCACCUGUAGUCUCCCCCAAGUGACCCUAUCCUGUGUGACGCUGCAACAAGCAAAUGGUAGACAGAAGGGGCCGAGUGAAGGCCGUAGUACUUCAGUGUUGGCGAGCAUUGAAAUUCAAGAUACGCAAGAUACGCGGACGAAGGUUUUUACAGUCUUCUUCCGGACGAUUUGAUCGAAUAAUUAAAGAGGCGGCAGAGCCAUUCUUACAGUGACCGCGUGAAAUCAGAUAUAAGCGGGGGCUUCUAGGGAUAACCUGGGGUUUGCUUUCACGGGGGAUUUAAUCCGAGUUGGUGCGUGCUCGUCCAGCCCAGUAGGACAAGAGGCUGGUUUCUUGGGGCAUAAGCCUCGGGUGUCGAUUGGAUUAUCUUAUGCGGAUUCAAAUGUAAUAAAUGACUCAAUCAAUCGCUCCAAAUCAGCCGUUGACAUCUCUAGGAGAUAAUUGAAUAGUUCAAAUUUGGAAAUCUCAAUCGAACUUAAGACGAAUUAGGGGUACGGUUUGAUCC